UACAGAGGUCCCAAGCGUUGUUCGGAUUCACUGGGCGUAAAGGGUGCGUAGGCGGUCGGGUAAGUCUGCUGUGAAAUCUCCAAGCCUAACUUGGAAACUGCAUUGGAUACUAUCCGGCUCGAGGAAUGGAGGGGAGACUGGAAUACUUGGUGUAGCAGUGAAAUGCGUAGAUAUCAAGUGGAACACCAGUGGCGAAGGCGAGUCUCUGGACAUUUCCUGACGCUGAGGCACGAAAGCCAGGGGAGCAAACGGG
rnacentral:rRNA from 1 species